CAAAAACAAAACUUCAUCUUCUUCUGAACUUAAGCAACCAGACAAGUUCUUUUUCAACAGAAGAACUGAAGCUGGGGUUAUUUUCUAUCUCCCCUUUCCUUGCCUCACAAACAAGAUUUUGUAGGUUGAAAAACAAGAAACAAUACGAAGAAUGUUGGCUCGAAGUUUAACUGACAGAUCUGUCACACCCAACUAUGAUUCUAUUUUUGAGGCAUCCCUUUUCACAAUUAAAGUACAUCAUGGCAGAUUAUUUGUGCGUGGUCUGACAAGAGGCUACAUAGGUGAAAAAGUUGUAUUUUUUGACUAUGUAAACAGAACAAUGAUAAGCUUAUCAGAUUUUAAAAAUAUGGCCGAACAAUGUGGUUAUGACAAGGAGUCUGUGGUGUUCUGGCACAAGUAUGGUUUAACCCUUUAUAAGGUUCGGUUAGUUGGUAGCAAUAUUGAAGUAGCUAAACUUGCUACUUGCAUUCCAAAGGAUAGAGUGAUUGAGAUAUAUU